rnacentral:lncRNA from 1 species
AAGACUAUACUUUCAGGGAUCAUUUCUAUAGUGUGUUACUAGAGAAGUUUCUCUGAACGUGUAGAGCACCGAAAACCCCGAGGAAGAGAGGUAGCGUUUUCUCCUGAGCGUGAAGCCGGCUUUCUGGCGUUGCUUGGCUGCAACUGCCGUCAGCCAUUGAUGAUCGUUCUUCUCUCCGUAUUGGGGAGUGAGAGGGAGAGAACGCGGUCUGAGUGGUUUUUCCUUCUUGAUGGCUCAAUGACAGAGACUAGCUCGUAAACUCCGGGGCGUUUCUGGGCUGUUCGCUCCUGCUUGGCAGUGUAGCGAGAAAGGUUUUCGCCUCCUGUUUCAGCGGUGACGGCUCUUGGGUUUUCUCGGGGUGGCUUUUUAAUUUUAGUCUUGGCGCGAGGCGGGGGAUGCUGUGUGGCACCUCCUAUUGUCUCUUUUUGCGUUUUCUCCCAUUCUCGCUCCCUCUUUUGUCGCCGUUUCCCGCCCGCCACUCCCACCCCCAGACGGGGUCUCCGGGUCUCUUGUUCUGUCUGCCGCCCCGGCUGGAGUGCAGUGGCGCGAUCUCGGCUCCUAGCAACAUCUGCCUCCCGGGCUCAAGCGAGUCUCCCGCCUAAGCCCUCCCGAGUAGCCGGGGCUUAAAGGCGCACACGCCACUCCAGGCUUUUUUUUUUUUUUUUUUUGGCAGAAACGGGGUGUCAGC